rnacentral:rRNA from 1 species
UACGUAGGUGGCGAGCGUUGUCCGGAAUUACUGGGUGUAAAGGGAGCGUAGGCGGGAAUACAAGUCAGAAGUGAAAAUUAUGGGCUUAACCCAUAACCUGCUUUUGAAACUGUAUUUCUUGAGUGAGUCAGAGGCAAGCGGAAUUCCCAGUGUAGCGGUGAAAUGCGUAGAUAUUGGGAGGAACACCAGUGGCGAAGGCGGCUUGCUGGGGCUUUACUGACGCUGAGGCUCGAAAGCGUGGGGAGCAAACAGG